rnacentral:rRNA from 1 species
GACGAACCGUGCGAACGUUGUUCGGAAUCACUGGGCUUAAAGCGCACGUAGGCGGACAUUUAAGUCAGGGGUGAAAUCCUGGAGCUCAACUCCAGAACUGCCUUUGAUACUGAGGAUCUUGAGUUCGGGAGAGGUGAGUGGAACUGCGAGUGUAGAGGUGAAAUUCGUAGAUAUUCGCAAGAACACCAGUGGCGAAGGCGGCUCACUGGCCCGAUACUGACGCUGAGGCACGAAAGCGUGGGGAGCAAACAGG